CCUCCCAUCUCUCUCACUGUGUGUAGCAGGAGCCGCCGCCGCCCUAGUAGUUCUCUGCCGACGGCCGUUUCGAGCGCCACCGCGAGCAGCCGUGCCAGAUCCGUCAACAACUCCUCCGGAUCGGCGCGACCACAACCACCUCGCCCCGCCUGCUGGAAUCUGUCGCCGUUGACCUCCAGCGCCGCCACAUUCCCCGCUCACGUUCACGCCACCAUGGCCAUGGCGCCCUGAGCCCGGAGACGAGCAGCUCCUGCCCAUGUGCCCUGUCGCUGGCCGCCAGUGCCUUCCCGGCCUCCAUCCUGGCCGGAUCCGGUCCAGCCCGAGCAUCCCGCAGAUGGAUCCGCCGUCUCUGCCGCGCCCCCCAUGCCCCGCAUCGAUCUCGGACUCCCCGGCAUCGCGCCGCCGCCCCUUGCAGGGUUGACCUCGCCUGACACCUCCUCGCUCAAUCGCCGUCGUGGGUGGCCUCGCGCCCUCCGGUGGCGAUUCCUCGUCGUUGUUGUUGUUGCAUUCCCGGUAGCAGAGAGAGUGAGAGAGGAAAAAGAGAGAUUGAUUUUUCUUUUUGGCUUUUUCCCCUUUUCUAUGUAUCUGGGGCCACUUGUAAGUGUCAUGUUUCUUCUUUUC